rnacentral:rRNA from 1 species
UACGUAGGGUGCAAGCGUUGUCCGGAAUUAUUGGGCGUAGAGAGCUUGUAGGCGGUUUGUCGCGUCUGCUGUGAAAUUUCGGGGCUCAACCCCGAACUUGCAGUGGGUACGGGCAGACUAGAGUGUGGUAGGGGAGACUGGAAUUCCUGGUGUAGCGGUGAAAUGCGCGGAUAUCAGGAGGAACACCGAUGGCGAAGGCAGGUCUCUGGGCCACUACUGACGCUGAGAAGCGAAAGCAUGGGGAGCGAACAGG